GAUGAACGCUGGCGGCGUGCUUAACACAUGCAAGUCGAACGAUGAAGCCCAGCUUGCUGGGUGGAUUAGUGGCGAACGGGUGAGUAACACGUGAGUAACCUGCCCUUAACUCUGGGAUAAGCCUGGGAAACUGGGUCUAAUACCGGAUAGGAGCGCCUACCGCAUGGUGGGUGUUGGAAAGAUUUAUCGGUUUUGGAUGGACUCGCGGCCUAUCAGCUUGUUGGUGAGGUAAUGGCUCACCAAGGCGACGACGGGUAGCCGGCCUGAGAGGGGGGCCGGCCACACUGGGACUGAGACAGGGCCCAGACGCCUACGGGAGGCAGCAGUGGGGAAUAUUGCACAAGGGGCGAAAGCCUGAUGCAGCGACGCCGCGUGAGGGAUGACGGCCUUCGGGUUGUAAACCUCUUUCAGUAGGGAAGAAGCGAAAGUGACGGUACCUGCAGAAGAAGCACCGGCUAACUACGUGCCAGCCGCCGCCGUAA
rnacentral:rRNA from 1 species